UUGUAAACAAAGUUUGUCAAACUUUCAACUUUGUAUUUUCAGAUUGGUUUAUUGGAAUUUGGUAUACGAUAACGUUUUUUUAGGGCGAAAUGGAUGAUGAUGAUUAUUGGAAUACUAGUGAAACCAAAGAGAGUGCGUUCAGUUUUGACGAUGUGUUAUCACCACAAGAAAUACUUGCUAUUGGCAAGAAAGCAUGUUCAGGGCAGAGUGAAGACAGUGUAUUCAAUUCCUCGAAUAUAAAUAGUACUAGACGAGACUUAGUACCACUAGCAAGCCUUGUGUCACCUAAAGCCCUAGAACUGAUAGUGCUAGCUCAGUCUGGCAAUGAUCUGAAAGAUGCAAUGCCAGAGCAGCACAUAACAGUUGCAGUCACAUUGAGAAGAUUGGUUCUGGGAAGAAGUUGUUCACUGCAUGUACACAGAAGUAUGAAAAGCAAAACAGAAUUACUGGAUGGUGCAAUUGAAUUGGGUGAUGGGAAUGCUAUAUUAGCUAUAGUAUGCUUCCUCCUACAAACACUGAAUAAGAAACUGGUACAUGAGUUACUGUCGUCUAGGCCUUUAGCGUUGAGUCACUAUGUAGGCUAUUUACACGGUGAGGGAAAAAUAGCUGAACUCACAGACUUAUUGACGAUGCUGGGCAGGAGUUCAGAAGCUGCGAUGUUCCAGUUCGAGCACAUGGUGAGGUGUCACGGUGAUGACGUGGAAGCCUUGCUGAGGAAGUCUGGCAACCUACAGAAGAACCACUUCACACAGCCUCACGUCGAUGGUCACUACAUCAAGAUGUUGACAGACUAUUGCAAACUCUUGGAAUGGCAGAAAUGUGCCGACAAGAAGGAGUUGCGGAACAAAUCGAGCCUACGAUGUUUGUUAUACUGCUGCGAGUCGCACUGGCACGAGGGGGCUGGCAAUAUUAUGUCGCCAUUGACUCUGUGUCAACGACAGCAGAUAACACCUCUGCAGUACGAUUGGGUCGUGUUAAAUGUCCACGCUAACGCCAACAAGUGGGAUAUCGUGGAGUCGCUGUUCACUAAGAAGAAUUGGUUCGGACGGACGACUGUGUCGACACACAUACCGAUAGAGACGCUUCUGUCUCGACUGGCUGAGCUGAAGGCCAGCGAGCACAUUAUGGCGACCUGCGUUGCCAAGAUACAGAGCAACGAGGAGAGGAUCAGACUGGCGCACAAGUAUAAGAUACACUCAGUGAUAGCGGAAAGUGCGGGUAAACAGAAGGACCGGAGUGGAUUGUUUGGCAUGACGUAAUAUUCAGGGCUCAACAUAAACUAGAAGAAGAAAUAGCAAGAUUGUGGACAAUAGAAAUAGAUACCGGCGAGCACAGCAGUGGGUAGGGUGAGCCAGUUUUCCUCGCAGUGAAGACAGGACAUGGGGCCAGGGGGCCCGGCUCUAUAGUGCGCUGGCCUAGCAUGUUGGUGUGCGAGAAGUCACA